UAAGAGAUGUACUUAUUUAAAAGUGCCUAA
rnacentral:piRNA from 1 species